AGGAGAUUAAAAGUUGUCACCACACCAAAACAGGCUAUUGCCUAUUCUUCAGCAGCAAUAAAAAACUCCUAAACAACUUUUAUGACCUGAGAGACUUUAUUUACAUAAGACAAUCUUUGUUCACCAUGCAGUUCCUCUCCUUUUCCUCUCAUAACUGUCAUCACCUCCCCUUCAAGCCCCUAUUCAUUUUAUGCUAUGAAACCUUCAACCAUCUGCCUCCUCCUUUGAGUCUCAUAUUUUUCUGAGGCUUCCAUUUGCAUGUAUGUAAUUAAAAUGGUCUUUCUCUUCUUAAUCUGUUUAUUGUCAGUUCAUUUCAGCAGACUUAAUUAUCAAACCUCCAGAGGGAAUGUUUAAGCUUCCCUAUAACCCCCAUGGGAAACAACUUGUAUCAACUAGGAACUGCUUACUUGCAGUUCCUUUUGCCUUUAGUCUUACAAACUUCAGUAAUUUCCAAAGUUACUUAGAUCAGCACCUUUCACCCCUACUCUUUUGAGUUUGUUUCCUACAUUUGUACUAAUAGUUAUGUUCUCUUGUCACAGUCUGCAUUCCUGUGAUUCCCUGACUUCUUAAAUGAUUAAAAUUGUUUACAUAAAAUUUUGACCCUUUGUGCAGUAAAGUUCUAUAUGUUUUCACAAAUACACAAUGUCAUGUAUACACCAUCACAGUAUCAUACAGAAUUGUUUCAUUGCCCUAAAAAACUCCUGUGCUUCACCUAUUCAUUCCUCCCUCUCCUCAAACUCUGGCAACCACUGACAUUUUUAUUCUCUAUUGUUUUGUCUUUUCCAGAGUGUCAUAUAGUUGGACUCAUAUAGUAUGCAGCCUGUUCAGAAUGACUUCUCUCACUUAACAGUAUGCAUUUAAGGUUCAUACAGGACUUUCUGUGGCUCGAUAGCUCAUUUCUUUAUUGUUGAAUAGUAUUCCAUCAUAUGGAUGUACCAGUUUGUUUAUCCAUUCACUUAUUGAAGAAAUGUGUGUUGCUUCAAGUUUUAACCAAUUAUAACCUUGUUAUGAACACGUGUGUGCUGUUUUUAUGUGGACAAGUUUUCAAAUCAGUAAAUACCUAGAAGUGAAACUGUUCCAACUGUCCCAUAGAAAUGACAUUUAAAAGUUUUGGAACACACAUGGAAAUUGACCCUUCAGGUCUUAAAACUUGAAAUUUACAUUUGUCUCAUCUGAGUUCCUCCCUCAGGGAACUGAUCCUCAGGCAAGGGACUUAAACUCACCAGAUCACCACAUCGAAAUAAGAUGCCAGACCCCCUCAUUCAUCAUAAUUGCUUCUUUACCCCCCUUAAUUCCUUCCCUCACUAUGUAAGCCUCCCCAGUUGUAGUUGGUCAGGGAUUUGAGACUUUAUCUCCCAUUCUCCUUGGCUGCAGCACCCAGUGAAAUACUUCUUUCAUGGCAACAUUCAUGUUUAUUUUUGAUGUCUAUUCAGACCUUUUGCCCAUGUUUAAAUUGGGUCAUUUGUCUUAUUAUUUUUACGGCUUUUUUUGUGUUUUUUUGAGAGGCAGUCUCACUCUGUCACCUGGACUGGAGUGCAGUGGUGUAAUCUCAGCUCGCUGUAACCUCCACCCCAGGUUCAAAUGAUUCUCCUGCCUCAGCCUCAGGAGUAGCUGGGAUUACAGGUGUGUGCCACUAUGCCCAGCUUAUUUUUGUAGUUUUAGUAUGGACAGGGUUUUGCCAUAUUGGCCAGGCUGGUCUUGAACUCCUGACCUCAGGUGAUCUGUCUGCUUUGGCCUCCCAAAGUGCUGGGAUUACAGGCAUGAGCCACUGAACCCGGCCCUGAGUUUUAAGUUCUUACCUGCCUAAUUGUCCUGGCUAGAACCUCCAGUACAAUGCUGAAUAGAAGUGGUGAGCUUGGAGAUCAUUUUCUUGUUCCAUAUCUUAGGAUAAGAGCUUUCAGUCUUUCAUCAUUAUGUAUGAUGUUAGCUGUGGGUCUUCAUAGAUAUCCUUUCUCAGGUUGAAGAAGUUCCUGUUUACUUCUAGUCUGUUCACUGCUUUUAUCAUGAAAGGCUACUGGAGGUUGUCAAAUGCUUUGUGUCUAUGGAAAUGAUUAUGUAUUUAUCUUUUGUGAAUUAUCCCAUUAAUAUACUGGAUUUACUGAUUUUCGUAUGUUAAACCAAUCUUGCUUUCCUGGGAUAAAUCCCAAUGGAUCACAGUGUAUAAUUCUUUUGAUAUCUUGCUGGAUUUCAUUUGCUAGUACUUUUUUUUUUUGCCUCUGUAUUCAAAAGGGAUAUUGGUAUUAGUUUUCUUUCCUAGUAAUGUCUUUGGUUAUGGUAUCCAUGUCUUCUUUAACUCAUGUGUCUGGUUAUGGUAUCCAUGUCUUCUUUAACUCGUGUGUGUGUGUAUGUAUGUAACCUUAGGCACUCUAAAAUGCAGGGCUCAGGGCAGGAACCUCUCUUGCUCAGCUCUAACCCUUCUGGUCACCUCUUAGUGACUUUUUCCCCCUUUAAGUCUGCCAUUUGAAGGACAUUAUAUCCUAAUUACACCUGAAUAGAAGGGAGAACUUUGGGUCACAUCCUACAGACAGUUCUCAAGACUAAUAAUUUACAUUUAUUGAAUACUUUCUAUAUACUCAGGCAUUGCUCUAACCCCUUUGCAUGUGUUAACUCAAUCUUCCCAACUAAGGAAACUUUGACUUGGAAAGGUUCAGUGAUUUGUUCAAUGGUAACACACUGGAGAGUGACUACAUUUUAAUUAGGGCAAAAUUUUCCAUUUGGCCAAGAACAAAAUCUAACAGCCACUGCUAUUUUGUGAAUAGUAAUUUGAAAAUUAAAGGAAAAUUUUUUUAAAGAAAAGCUUUGUUCUUCAAGUGUGAUCGUUAUUAUUCUUGGGCCAAAAUGCUUUUCAAGGUACAUGUUUUAAUCUUUUUUUAAAAAAUUAUU
rnacentral:lncRNA from 10 species